UACGUAGGGACCAAGCGUUGUUCGGAUUUACUGGGCGUAAAGGGCGCGUAGGCGGCGUGACAAGUCAAUUGUGAAAUCUCCGGGCUUAACUCGGAACGGUCAAGUGAUACUGUCGGACUAGAGUACAGAAGGGGCAACUGGAAUUCUCGGUGUAGCGGUGAAAUGCGUAGAUAUCGAGAGGAACACCUGCGGCGAAGGCGGGUUGCUGGGCUGAUACUGACGCUGAGGCGCGAAAGCCAGGGGAGCGAACGGG
rnacentral:rRNA from 1 species